AUUGAACGCUGGCGGCAGGCCUAACACAUGCAAGUCGAGCGGCAGCGGGACCUUCGGGUUGCCGGCGAGCGGCGGACGGGUGAGUAAUGCCUAGGAAUCUGCCUGUUAGUGGGGGAUAACGCGGGGAAACUCGCGCUAAUACCGCAUACGUCCUACGAGAGAAAGCGGGGGCUCUUCGGACCUCGCGCUAACAGAUGAGCCUAGGUCGGAUUAGCUAGUUGGUGGGGUAAUGGCUCACCAAGGCGACGAUCCGUAACUGGUCUGAGAGGAUGAUCAGUCACACUGGAACUGAGACACGGUCCAGACUCCUACGGGAGGCAGCAGUGGGGAAUAUUGGACAAUGGGCGAAAGCCUGAUCCAGCCAUGCCGCGUGUGUGAAGAAGGUCUUCGGAUUGUAAAGCACUUUAAGUCGGGAGGAAGGGCUGUAGGUUAAUACCCUGCGGUUUUGACGUUACCGACAGAAUAAGCACCGGCUAACUUCGUGCCAGCAGCCGCGGUAA
rnacentral:rRNA from 1 species